rnacentral:lncRNA from 1 species
AUUCUAUUUAUAACUGACCAGGGACAGCUCUGGUCUCACCCACACCAUUUCCCUACAACACACACUGGACCGGGAAGUUCAAGAAGAUGCUUUCCAGGUCAAUAUGCAACACGAGCGUCUAGAAGGCAGAUGCAGCUAACUCUUCAUUACCUGGCUAAUGACUGGCAGGAAGAAGGAUCAGAUGUUUUCAAAUGGAUGCCAAGUCAAACCGAUUCAAGCCGUCUCGGAGUUAGAUCACUUGCAAUUAGUCAGGCUGAUCACAGGGAUUUGGGGGAUCACUUUUAUCAAGCUAUAUCAGACAGUGCCACCGCCAAAACUGGAAUCAUUUAAAUAAAUGUACCAAAGAAC